rnacentral:lncRNA from 1 species
UCGCAGGUGGUCUUUUUUGACAAUCCCACUCGACAGGGGGUCCUUUUGAACAAAAAUCCUCAAAUCUACGGUCUCAAAGUAGACCCGAGAAGGGGCGGGGCUAAAACACCCAUGCCAACAGUUCCAGCGUUCAUUUUACUAGCACCAACUACGUACGAAUCUACUCCACAGGAACCUUGGCGAAUUAAGCUGCUUCAAAUGAAGCAAGCCUUUCCCUGCUACCACGACUUGUCCAAAGCAACAACUUUGAUGUUACCCUGCAGGCCUGCACAAACAAAACGCCAUAAGAACCGACGGCACAGCUGCGAAGCAAACAGUCGAUGCUUGAAUAAACAUUACAUGAUAGUAUCAAUCCUAGUGGAAAGAGUCAUGCUUGAAUACCAUCACACGAUACCAUCAAUCCUAGUGGGUUCAUCUUGACCCAGUCCUUGUCAAAUAUAC